rnacentral:rRNA from 1 species
AACGAACGCUGGCGGCAUGCCUAACACAUGCAAGUCGAACGAACCCUUCGGGGUGAGUGGCGCACGGGUGCGUAACACGUGGGAACCUGCCCUUAGGUUCGGAAUAACAGUUAGAAAUGACUGCUAAUACCGGAUAAUGUCUUCGGACCAAAGAUUUAUCGCCUUUGGAUGGGCCCGCGUAGGAUUAGCUAGUUGGUGAGGUAAAGGCUCACCAAGGCGACGAUCCUUAGCUGGUCUUAGAGGAUGAUCAGCCACACUGGGACUGAGACACGGCCCAGACCCCUACGGGAGGCAGCAGUGGGGAAUAUUGGACAAUGGGCGAAAGCCUGAUCCAGCAAUGCCGCGUGAGUGAUGAAGGCCUUAGGGUUGUAAAGCUCUUUUACCUGGGAUGAUAAUGACAGUACCAGGAGAAUAAGCCCCGGCUAACUCCGUGCCAGCAGCCGCCGUAA